rnacentral:rRNA from 1 species
AGCGAACGCUGGCGGCAGGCCUAACACAUGCAAGUCGAGCGCCCAGCAAUGGGAGCGGCAGACGGGAUAGUAACACGUGGGAACGUACCUUUCAGUUCGGAACAACCCAGGGAAACUUGGGCGUAAUACCGAAUACGUCCGUAAGGAGAAAGAUUUAUCGCUGAAAGAUCGGCCCGCGUCUGAUUAGCUAGUUGGUGAGGUAAUGGCUCACCAAGGCGACGAUCAGUAGCUGGCUGAGAGGAUGAUCAGCAUCACUGGGACUGAGACACGGCCCAGACUCCUACGGGAGGCAGCAGUGGGGAAUAUUGCACAUGGGCGCAAGCCUGAUGCAGCGACGCCGCGUGAGGGAUGAC